rnacentral:tRNA from 1 species
UGGCACAGUGGUUAAAGCAUUCGACUGCUAACCGAAAGGUCGGUGGUUUGAAACCACC